GGUAGCCUAGUGGUUAGAGCAGGUAGCCUAGUGGUUAGAGCAGGUAGCCUAGUGGUUAGAGCAGGUAGCCUAGUGGUUAGAGACAGGUAGCCUAGUGGUUAGAGCAGGUAGCCUAGUGGUUAGAGCAGGUAGCCUAGUGGUUAGAGCAGGUAGCCUAGUGGUUAGAGCAGGUAGCCUAGUGGUUAGAGCAGGUAGCCUAGUGGUUAGAGCAGGUAGCCUAGUGGUUAGAGCAGGUAGCCUAGUGGUUAGAGCAGGUAGCCUAGUGGUUAGAGCAGGUAGCCUAGUGGUUAGAGCAGGUAGCCUAGUGGUUAGAGCAGGUAGCCUAGUGGUUAGAGCAGGUAGCCUAGUGGUUAGAGACAGGUAGCCUAGUGGUUAGAGCAGGUAGCCUAGUGGUUAGAGCAGGUAGCCUAGUGGUUAGAGCAGGUAGCCUAGUGGUUAGAGCAGGUAGCCUAGUGGUUAGAGCAGGUAGCCUAGUGGUUAGAGCAGGUAGCCUAGUGGUUAGAGACAGGUAGUCUAGUGGUUAGAGCAGGUAGCCUAGUGGAUAGAGCAGGUAGUCUAGUGGUUAGAGCAGGUAGUCUAGUGGUUAGAGACAGGUAGUCUAGUGGUUAGAGACAGGUAGCCUAGUGGUUAGAGCAGGUAGCCUAGUGGUUAGAGCAGGUAGCCUAGUGGUUAGAGCAGGUAGUCUAGUGGUUUAGAGCAGGUAGCCUAGUGGUUAGAGCAGGUAGCCUAGUGGUUAGAGCAGGUAGCCUAGUGGUUAGAGCAGGUAGCCUAGUGGUUAGAGCAGGUAGUCUAGUGGUUAGAGCAGGUAGCCUAGUGGUUAGAGCAGGUAGCCUAGUGGUUAGAGCAGGUAGUCUAGUGGUUAGAGCAGGUAGCCUAGUGGUUAGAGCAGGUAGCCUAGUGGUUAGAGCAGGUAGCCUAGUGGUUAGAGCAGGUAGCCUAGUGGUUAGAGCAGGUAGCCUAGUGGUUAGAGCAGGUAGCCUAGUGGUUAGAGCAGGUAGCCUAGUGGUUAGAGCAGGUAGCCUAGUGGUUAGAGCAGGUAGCCUAGUGGUUAGAGCAGGUAGCCUAGUGGUUAGAGACAGGUAGUCUAGUGGUUAGAGACAGGUAGCCUAGUGGUUAGAGCAGGUAGCCUAGUGGUUAGAGCAGGUAGCCUAGUGGUUAGAGCAGGUAGUCUAGUGGUUAGAGCAGGUAGCCUAGUGGUUAGAGCAGGUAGUCUAGUGGUUAGAGCAGGUAGCCUAGUGGUUAGAGCAGGUAGUCUAGUGGUUAGAGCAGGUAGCCUAGUGGUUAGAGCAGGUAGUCUAGUGGUUAGAGCAGGUAGCCUAGUGGUUAGAGCAGGUAGCCUAGUGGUUAGAGCAGGUAGCCUAGUGGUUAGAGCAGGUAGCCUAGUGGUUAGAGCAGGUAGCCUAGUGGUUAGAGCAGGUAGCCUAGUGGUUAGAGCAGGUAGCCUAGUGGUGAGAGCAGGUAGCCUAGUGGUUAGAGCAGGUAGCCUAGUGGUUAGAGCAGGUAGCCUAGUGGUUAGAGCAGGUAGCCUAGUGGUUAGAGCAGGUAGCCUAGUGGUUAGAGCAGGUAGCCUAGUGGUUAGAGCAGGUAGCCUAGUGGUUAGAGCAGGUAGCCUAGUGGUUAGAGCAGGUAGCCUAGUGGUUAGAGCAGGUAGCCUAGUGGUUAGAGCAGGUAGCCUAGUGGUUAGAGCAGGUAGCCUAGUGGUUAGAGCAGGUAGCCUAGUGGUUAGAGCAGGUAGCCUAGUGGUUAGAGCAGGUAGCCUAGUGGUUAGAGCAGGUAGCCUAGUGGUUAGAGCAGGUAGCCUAGUGGU